AAUACCCAUUUCUUUCCCUUUUCAUCAGCAAAUAGCAAAGACAACAACAUCGAUGAACAACGAUGAUCAAGUCGACAAUACCAAUAGACUCAUCAUCAAAAACAACUCCAAAAUAUCGCCAAAACUAGUCUCAGUCCAACCCAACAUCGCGAAUUCGAUGACCCACAAUCCAAGAACCAACCCGUUCGCAACCAUAUCUUCAACCCGUAACUCGAACUGAACCUAUUCCAGACUCGAUUUUAGACCCAAAAUUGAUCUCAAACCAUCCCCUUUUCCCUCUCUUUUAUGCGUCACAUGGCUCUUACAUUAUUUUGUACGAAGAAAGCUUGAGAAUUUUCUAGAAUGAGUCCAGGUGUCUCCCCCAACGGAUCAAUUCCGCAAAUCUUGAUAACAAUGGUACAAUUUUGUACAUAUUUGGUAGAUUUCUAUUGGUUCUCGAGGGAAUUCAUUUUGCCUAAAUCUUAUUGGUCCACCAAUUUUAAAAUUGGUAUAAUUUAUUGAGGGGGAAUCCGAUUGGGAGUGAAAAUUUUAAAUUCCCUUUGGAAAAAUAAUCCCUAAAAUACCCUCAAUGGUACUCUAUAUAAAGAGCUGGCUGUUGAGCUUUUAGGGGGGGUUCUUUGGAGGCUUGAAAUUAAAGGGUUGGAAAUUCUAGGGUUUGGAAAUUGAUUGAGAAAACUAGGUUGAAAAAAAUUCUUUUGGUUCAAAAAGAGGAGAUCGAGGAAUCUUCUAGGAGAACAAAAUUAAAAUUAGAGAGAGAGGAGAGAAAGAAAAUUCUUGAGAAAAUUCAGUCUCGAGUAGAAAUUCUAUUCUUGUUCAUCGGCUAAAUUAGAGUUUCAGUUGACUGUGAAGAAGUUUCCUGGUGGUCGUGAUCUCCGUACCUGUUCGUUGUCCUGUUUUGCUUCCCCAAAAGAGAAAUCACUUGAGUCCUUCAUGGAAUCCUUCCCUCUUGUAUAUUCAUGGGCCAAUGAGGCUUAUCCUUUUGAGUUAAGCCAAAAGAAAAUCUAAGUAUCCAUCGCAUGGCAUACGGACGCAAGGAGUCGAAAGAAGAAAAAAAUGGGUUGAAAUCCCAUAUUCGAAGUGAUGAAGAGACUCAGGAGUCUCACUUUCUUUUCUUGUCAUUUUAUUUAGAUAUUUAUUGUCAUCUUCUAUUUACUUAUCCAUUUAUUUCUUUAUUCAU